rnacentral:rRNA from 1 species
AUGAUUAUCAAUGAACGAGGUGAAUGGGAGUCUGAAAGUGACCCUGAAGGUGGCAAUGUUGAAGUGGAAGAGGAGAAAGGUUGGGAAGUAGGAGGAACUAUUUUAUCUCAUGAGGAACUUGAUGGAGAAGCUUUGGUUGUAUGUCGUUCACUCAAUGCCCAGGUUGUGGAGGAGGAAAAGGGGCAGCGGCAUAACCUUUUCCACACUCGUUGCCUUAUCAACUCAAAGAUAUGUCGAGUGAUUGUUGAUAGUGGCAGCUGCAACAAUAUUGCAAGCACGGAGAUGGUCGAGAAGCUUCAAUUGCAAACAAAACAUCACCCACAUCCAUACCGCAUGCAAUGGCUGAAUGAUUGUGGCGCAAUUAAGGUGAUUAGCAGCAUGCGAAUACCAAUUUAA